GUCUGCAUGGUGUAGUGGUUAUCACGUUUGUCUUACAUUUGAUGUGUAGCACACAAAAGGUCUCAGGUUCAAUCCCUGAUGCAGACA